rnacentral:rRNA from 1 species
CGGCGGACGGGUGAGUAACGCGUGGGUAACCUGCCUCAUACAGGGGGAUAACAGUUGGAAACGGCUGCAAUACCGCAUAAGCGCACAGUACCGCAUGGUACGGUGUGAAAAACUCCGGUGGUAUGAGAUGGACCCGCGUCUGAUUAGGUAGUUGGUGGGGUAACGGCCUACCAAGCCGACGAUCAGUAGCCGACCUGAGAGGGUGACCGGCCACAUUGGGACUGAGACACGGCCCAA